ensembl:lncRNA novel transcript, antisense to PML
GGACAUCUUUAUUCAAGCCAGCAAAUGACACGCCAGGAGCCCAGGUGAGCCGGAGUGCUCUGCCCAGCCUGGCUGCAGUUGUUGGCCAGAGCUCAGAGCUCUCCUGGGCCUGGCAGAUGGCUCUGCCUGCACUUCUUUUUGGGACUCAGAGACUAAAUUAGAAAGGGGUGGGGGUAGCCCCAGGAGAACCCACUUUCAUUGUCAAUCUUGAGGUCAAAGAAAACCAGAGGUCUGUCUUCUGCUUGGGGGUCAGCAAGGUUCUCGUCCAGGACCCUGAGGGUGCUGGGGCCUUCCAGCUGGAGGUCACUGGACUCACUGCUGCUGUCAUCCAGCUCUCGGGAGGACUGCAACACAGAAAAACCAAGCGUCAGGGAUUCAGAGGGCCAAGGCAAGCACCUGUGCAGAACACUAGCAAGCUGGUAUAGCUGGGAGCAUCUGCGUGCACAUGAAGGAGGGUGUACCACUGGGAAAGGGGACGUGUGCACAAGAGAAGACUCAGAAGAAACACCAAAACUUGGGACGGGAGAAAGAAGCCUCAUCUUGAACCCCAGAUGAUUCUUUGGAAGGGGUCGGGAGCCUGCCUUUUCUUGUCCCCGAAGUCAGCCGAGGUGCCAGUGUCCUACACAAAGGCGAGGGGAAGGACUGCUUGGCCUCCUGAAGGCCACAUCUAGGUGGACACCCAGGUCCUUGGCAGUGAGAGAGCAGUGGAGGCUCUUGGCAUCUGCCCCAGCAGCUUAGAGAAACCUGAGUUUUGGGAGUCCUUCAGGUGAGGCGUUCUCUCCUGUCCCAAGGUCCUGGUGGGAACACUGUUCGAGAAGCCAUGGGGUGGGGAGCCAGAGGAUGAGGGAAGGGCUCCAGCUCUGAGAUUUUCCCAAGGGACUGGGACUACAGAGGGAGGUGGAGCCUCUGAUGGUAAUACAGAGUUAAUUGCUUAUCAUCUGCUCAGCUGCCAAGCCCAGAUGUUUAGUCUUUGAUGACCAACUUGGAACCUCCCAUGAAUGCCACCUGUGGACGUUAGCCAGAGACCAGCAAGGAAGAGACAUGGACAGGAUCACAGGGCCAAUUGGGAGCAUGGCUGGGACAGAGUCCAGGGCAGGCCUUGGGUUUUUCCUCUUUAUGGACUGCCGCUGGCUUCUCAAUGAAGUUGGUGUCACCUGGUGCUAAAGCCUCAGUUAAUUCUGGCCUCUGGCUAAUGUCCCUGGCCUAGGAGGCAGCACAUUUCCCCAGACCCUUCCAAUGCCCAAGUGAAACAUCUGCUUCCAACCAAGCUUCAACUGAGAGAAAAAGCGUUUCCACCCACAAGUAACCUAAGAUGUGGUGGGUUUUUGUAGGAGUGGCUGGAUUUCACUGGAUUUGCAUUUCACAGCCCUGCUCCAGGCUCAUCAGCUUUCUGCCAGUUAUUGUCAGAAGCAGACACUCACUAUGAAUCCAUCUAGAGCUGGCUUUGCCUCUUCAUAUCCAGGGAUCUAGUCAGAGAGUCUGCCCAGCGCCUCGCAUCUCCAGAUCCUCAUUCAGCCACGCUGUCAAAAGCUGAUUUCACACGUCUUGCUCCGGGUGAGCCCACACUGCUGUCUCGCCUUUCCAACUCGGUUUCCUCCCUGUAAGGAGCCUUCUACAAGGCGUCUUCCUAGCUUGUAGCUGGGUGGCUGGAGACUCCACCUUCUCCCGCUUUGGGAGAAUCCAGUUGUUUCCUCUCUCCAGGCUUCACUGGGCAGCAGCGCUCUCCCACAAGCUGGUGGAGGGGCUGGGCUCCCCUUCUGGGUCCUCCCUGGUUCAGAUCCUUGGUGCCAAUAGCUGAGGCUGAGUCCAUGCUGCCACCCACUGACAUGGCACACAGGACUUUCUCUUUUUCGUUCUUCUUCCUGCUCCAAACCCAACUGGAAAUGCCCCUUUGUGUUCCUGAGUGCCUCCACAAAGCUCGGGGCAAUGUCCUCGGCCUUAGAACCAGUCUUCCCGCCUUCAGAUCUGCUCUUCCAAGAGGAGAGCUCCCUGGAGAGCCACAGUACUGUCUCUUUAGGCCACCCCUCCCAUCGUUACAGCAGGGUCAUUUAUGGCAGCCACUAGAACCUCGUUUUUAGAGCCUUCCAUUGUCCCGGGGCCAGGGAAAUGUCCUUUGUCCUAAACUUACUCGAGCUGCCUUCUCUAAGAAACCUCUACUGUCUCCUUUAAUAAAAGGACACCCCCUUUCCACCAAGCUUGUUAAUGGAGGAGAGGCUGGACCUUUCAGCCCUGACUCACUUCCUCCAAAAUUCCUCUUGCCCUUGGGGACUUCCAUAAAGUAUGGCCACCCAUGGAGCUGGUCUCACUGGAACUCCAGCCAGCUGUAAACCCAGAAUUCUCCCCUGCUCCGCCUUAAACUCCAGCAUCACAGCUGGGGAGUGCUGACGCAUUUAAACAAGACUUUCUGAAAGACUCAGGUUUGCCAGCAGGGCCAUCAGACAUAGUGGCCUGGUGCAGAACAUACUCCCCUCCCUGCUCACUAGGGGAGACUCUCCCAUUCUGCCCCCAGGCCCCACACCUUGGCCUUAUUCCGCAAAUUAGGAUAACUGGGUGUCGGGGGAGCAUAGAGAGGGACAGUCACUGGAAAAGACUUAGAUUUGCUUGGAAGAGAAAAGGAAGGGGGACAGAAGAAAGAAGAUGGGAAACAGAGCCUUGAGCCUGCGUGUGAGGACCGGGAAUCAAGGGGGAAAGCUUUGCUAUGCAGUGAGAGAUGCCAGGCGCCAAAGAAAAGGGGAAGAAGGACUGAAGAAGUGCUGCUGGGGUUAUGAGCUGGAUUCCCUUUAAUGUUCUUUCAAAAGAUGC